UUGUCACUGGGCACUCAGGAAAAGGAGCACUUCAGAGGAGGGUCUUGACGGAGGCGUGGGGUGUGCUGCCUCACUACCCUGACUUCCCGGUCCUCACCCAUCUCACCAACCUGGGCUCCUCUACUCUCUGGUGUUUGGUCUCCUUGGGCAUGGGUCAUCACCAUAACCCCUUUUGCACCCCCAGUUACAACAGACAGAGGCGGAGCUCAGGAAGGUGGAUGAGGCCAUCGCCCUGUUUCAGAAGAUGCUGUGACACCCCCAGUUCCAACCCCCAGUGUUCCACCAAACAGGGAUGGCAGCAAUAAAAUAUUUUGCCAACAUU
rnacentral:lncRNA from 1 species